rnacentral:lncRNA from 1 species
UUUUUUAAUUUAAAGGAAAAAUAAAUAUUUUUGAAUUAGAAUGAAUGUACUAAAAUAUUUUUAUAUUUUUGGAUUCAAUAAAACCUAUCUAUGUGUUAUUUAUAUUUUAAAUUUUAAAUACGUGAGUUAAAAUAUUAUUGUUUUUUUUAUUUAUUUUAUUCUAUUUAAAAUAGAUUUAAAAAAGUUUAUCAAAACAAAC